AAGUGAUCCUCCUGCUUCAGUUUCCCAAGUAGCUGGGACUACAGAAACCGGCACUUGAGUAAAACCGGAUGAGAAAACCCUACGUGAGCUGAUGUAGUCUGCUGUUCUGCUGGAGGUUAAAAGGAUCCAGAGCUUCACUGAUACCUAUGGAAACUUCUGGAAUGAAGAUGAAGAGAUGCUCUUUUGUGUACAAUUUCAAUGCACAGAAAGCUCUGCGUAGAAGUUACAUACAGAAAUGCAAAUAUAAAAAUUUAGAUUGUAAUAAAUCUAACUUGGAGAAAGAGAAGAACUUACAGUUCUAACAGACGCCCAGAGGCAGCGUCAUGGAGAACUUAGCAGCCUGGGCUCUGGAAUCGGGCUGCCUGGGCUUGAAUCCCAGCUUGACCAUCUAGACUGGCAUAUGAUUUGGGGCAUGUUCACUUAACCUUUCUGUGCCUUGGACUUAUCAUCCAUAAAGCAGGGUAAGUUCAUGAAACUUGAGGAGUUGCUAUUAAUAGUGUUAGUAAAUUUAUAAAGGUAAAGGCCUUAAAGCAAUGCCUCUCAUACAGUCAAUACAUGUUAGCUAUUAAAUAAUAUUACUGCUCAAUUACUUCUCUAUUAAAAGAAAUUUUGUUUUUGCAUUUGUUAAAUAUAAAAAUUCACAUGGCAUCCAUGGUAAGAAGUAGAAAAGCUCCAAUGGUUUGACAAAUUGACCAUUAAUAGACUGGCAUACACACCAAAUAUUGCAUAUAUUCUACUGGCAUUCAACAAACAGAAGAAAAAGUGAAUUAAAAAAUCAAUAUUAUAAUACAUUCAAUAAUAAAAACAUACUAAAUAAAUGAAAUUCUGUAUAAUAUGAAGGAACACUCCAAGAUCUUAUUUCUAUUUUCCUGGCCACGCUAACAGAAUGCUUAAUCAAGACUUUGCCUUUAAACUGACUUCUGAAACUAGGUCACAAAAGACAUUGAUUGCAGUUUCCGGCCGGGCACGGUGGCUCACACCUGUAAUCCUAGCACUCUGGGAGGCCGAGGCGGGUGGAUCGUUCAAGGUCAGGA